rnacentral:rRNA from 1 species
UACGGGGGGGCAAGCGUUGUUCGGAAUUACUGGGCGUAAAGGGCUCGUAGGCGGCCAACUAAGUCGGAUGUGAAAUCCCCAGGCUUAACCUGGGAACUGCAUCCGAUACUGGAUGGCUUGAAUCCGGGAGAGGGAUGCGGAAUUCCAGGUGUAGCGGUGAAAUGCGUAGAUAUCUGGGAGGAACACCGGUGGCGAAGGCGGCAUCCUGGGCCGCAUUGACGCUGAGGAGCGAAAGCCAGGGGAGCAAACGGGG